rnacentral:rRNA from 1 species
AACGAACGCUGGCGGCGUGCCUAACACAUGCAAGUCGAACGAGACCUUCGGGUCUAGUGGCGCACGGGUGCGUAACGCGUGGGAACCUGCCCUUAGGUUCGGAAUAACUCCCCGAAAGGGGUCCUAAUACCGGUUAAUGUCUUCGGACCAAAGAUUUUUGGCUUUUGGAUGGGCCCGCGUUGGAUUAGCUAGUUGGUAGGGUACAAGCAUGCCAUGGCGACGAUCCAUGGCUGGUCUGAGAGGAUGACAAACCGGAAUGGGACUGCGACACGGCCCAGACCCCUACGGAGGGCUGCGGAGUGGAGUACAAUGGGCGGAGGGAAAACCUAACCCAGCAAUGCCGGGUGAGUGAUGAAGGGCUUUGUAUUGUGAAUCUCUCUUACCCGAGGUGUGAAUGACAGUACCGGGUGAAUAAGCACCGGCUAACUCCGUG